UUUAAAUUAAUUCUUUUUAUAUAUAAAUAAUCUCUCUAUAUAAAAUAGUAACGAUACAUAUAUUUAUGUCUUUCCAUUCAAAUUUUUAUACUUCUUUGCCAUCUAGAAAGUUGAAAAUAUUUGGGAUGUUACAGAAUGACUAUUGAAUUGACUUGCAAAAAUCAGGCAACCAAGAAUGCCACCCAAAGCCUUAGAAAAGGAAAAGCUAAAUAUUUUAUGUUUACAUUGUAGAAUUUUUAAAAAUCAUUAUUUUACAAUUGAAUAUUUUGUUUUAAGAAAAAUAUUUAUUUAUCAGUUGAAAAAAAUUAAACUCGGAAGAAUAAACAUUAAAAUAUUGGAAAAUUAUGUGUCAAAUUAUAUUGGUAUCUUUCAAAUUCAACAGAUUUUUAAUAUUAAUUAUUUUGAUAAAAAUUGAUUAUGAAUCUAAUGAUAGUUUUUAAAUUUUGAAAGAAUGGAUCCAACAUGGUGGUCUGAAAUUUACUAGAUUUUUUUCUUUUAAUUCUGUCUUAUUUUAUUAAUGGAUGUUACUGUUGAAGCAUUUUAAAUCUGAUCUGAGGAUCAGAUAUCAUUAGGUGGUGAUAAAUGAUAGUUUAUCAUCUAGAGUGGUGGUGAACAACCUAGAGGAUCUACUUAUUUACCACUAUGCUAGGUAUCAAAUCAAGUGGUGGUAAUUCUCUUGGUGGUAAGUGGUGAUAAAUGGAGAGUGCUUACAUUUCUGAAAUUCAUUGAAAAAACAAUAAUCAAAGCUAAUGGUUAACAGUUCUUUAAGGAUCUGGAAACAUAUAUGUUUAAAG
rnacentral:lncRNA from 1 species